rnacentral:lncRNA from 10 species
AAAACCCUAAGCCAAGCCCAGAUUGGGGACAGGGUUUCGCUGGUAGCAGGGCCCGGGAAGGGGGAACCCAGAAGCGCUCAGGAGGUGGCGCCAUAGCACAGAGAUUGAGUGGGUCCAGGACUGUGGGUUCAAAUCCUGCCUCUGCCUUUUAUGGGCUGUGUGAGUUUGAGCAACUUACUCAGCCUCUCUAAGCUUCAGUUUCCCUCAUGCAUGAAGUGGACACAAUACACACACAAAAACUGCUUACGUGUUCUUAGAGUUUUGAGAUUUGUAGGGAGGUUUCCUGUUUCUUAUUGCUUAAUAUUGGU